rnacentral:rRNA from 1 species
AUUGAACGCUGGCGGCAGGCCUAACACAUGCAAGUCGGACGAGUGGCGGACGGGUGAGUAAUGUAUGGGAAACUGCCCGAUGGAGGGGGAUAACUACUGGAAACGGUAGCUAAUACCGCAUACCAUCGGAUGUGCCCAUGUGGGAUUAGCUGGUAGGUGGGGUAACGGCUCACCUAGGCGACGAUCCCUAGCUGGUCUGAGAGGAUGACCCGCCACACUGUAACUGAGACACGGCCCAGACUCCUACGGGAGGCAGCAGUGGGGAAUAUUGCACAAUGGGCGCAAGCCUGAUGCAGCCAUGCCGCGUGUAUGAAGAAGGCCUUCGGGUUGUAAAGUACUUUCAGCGGGGAGGCGUUACCCGCAGAAGAAGCACCGGCUAACUCCGUGCCAGCAGCCGCGGUAAUUC